GAGCCUGAUGCAGCGACGCCGCGUGCGGGAUGACGGCCUUCGGGUUGUAAACCGCUUUUGACAGGGACGAAGCGCAAGUGACUGUACCUGUAGAAUAAGGACCGGCCAACUACGUGCCAGCAGCCGCGGUAAUACGUAGGGUCCGAGCGUUGUCCGGAAUUACUGGGCGUAAAGAGCUUGUAGGCGGUUCGUCGCGUCGUUUGUGAAAACUUGGGGCUCAACCUUAAGCUUGCAGGCGAUACGGGCGGACUAGAGUACUUCAGGGGAGACUGGAAUUCCUGGUGUAGCGGUGAAAUGCGCAGAUAUCAGGAGGAACACCGGUGGCGAAGGCGGGUCUCUGGGAAGUAACUGACGCUGAGAAGCGAAAGCAUGGGUAGCAAACAGGAUUAGAUACCCUGGUAGUCCAUGCCGUAAACGGUGGGUACUAGGUGUGGGGCUCCUUCCACGGACUCCGUGCCGUAGCUAACGCAUUAAGUACCCCGCCUGGGGAGUACGGCCGCAAGGCUAAAACUCAAAGAAAUUGACGGGGGCCCGCACAAGCGGCGGAGCAUGUGGAUUAAUUCGAUGCAACGCGAAGAACCUUACCUGGGUUUGACAUACACCGGAAACCUGCAGAGAUGUAGGCCCCCUUGUGGUCGGUGUACAGGUGGUGCAUGGCUGUCGUCAGCUCGUGUCGUGAGAUGUUGGGUUAAGUCCCGCAACGAGCGCAACCCUUAUCUUAUGUUGCCAGCGCGUAAUGGCGGGGACUCGUGAGAGACUGCCGGGGUCAACUCGGAGGAAGGUGGGGACGACGUCAAGUCAUCAUGCCCCUUAUGUCCAGGGCUUCACACAUGCUACAAUGGCCGGUACAGAGGGCUGCGAUACCGUGAGGUGGAGCGAAUCCCUUAAAGCCGGUCUCAGUUCGGAUCGGGGUCUGCAACUCGACCCCGUGAAGUUGGAGUCGCUAGUAAUCGCAGAUCAGCAACGCUGCGGUGAAUACGUUCCCGGGCCUUGUACACACCGCCCGUCACGUCAUGAAAGUCGGUAACACCCGAAGCCGGUGGCCUAACCCCUUGUGGGAGGGAGCCGUCGAAGGUGGGAUCGGCGAUUGGGACGAAGUCGUA
rnacentral:rRNA from 1 species